AGCGAACGCUGGCGGCAGGCUUAACACAUGCAAGUCGAACGCCCGGGCAACCGGGAGUGGCAGACGGGUGAGUAACACGUGGGAACAUGCCCUUCGGUUCGGAAUAACUCGGGGAAACUCGUGCUAAUACCGGAUACGUCCGUAAGGAGAAAGAUUUAUCGCCGAAGGAUUGGCCCGCGUCCGAUUAGCUAGUUGGUAGGGGUAAAACGCCCACCAAGGCGACGAUCGGUAGCUGGUCUGAGAGGAUGAUCAGCCACACUGGGACUGAGACACGGCCCAGACUCCUACGGGAGGCAGCAGGUGGGAAUAUUGGACAAUGGGCGCAAGCCUGAUCCAGCCAUGCCGCGUGAGUGA
rnacentral:rRNA from 1 species